CCUACGGGCGGCUGCAGUGGGGAAUAUUGGACAAUGGGGGCAACCCUGAUCCAGCCAUGCCGCGUGUGUGAAGAAGGCCCUCGGGUUGUAAAGCACUUUCAGUGAGGAAGAACGCCUGGUGGUUAAUACCCAUCAGGAAAGACAUCACUCACAGAAGAAGCACCGGCUAACUCCGUGCCAGCAGCCGCGGUAAUACGGAGGGUGCGAGCGUUAAUCGGAAUUACUGGGCGUAAAGCGCGCGUAGGUGGCUUGAUAAGCCGGUUGUGAAAGCCCCGGGCUCAACCUGGGAACGGCAUCCGGAACUGUCAAGCUAGAGUGCAGGAGAGGAAGGUAGAAUUUCCGGUGUAGCGGUGAAAUGCGUAGAGAUCGGGAGGAAUACCAGUGGCGAAGGCGGCCUUCUGGACUGACACUGACACUGAGGUGCGAAAGCGUGGGUAGCAAACAGGAUUAGAUACCCCGGUAGUC
rnacentral:rRNA from 1 species